GACGAACGCUGGCGGCGUGCUUAACACAUGCCAGUCGAACGGAAAGGCCCUGCUUUUGUGGGGUGCUCGAGUGGCGAACGGGUGAGUAACACGUGAGUAACCUGCCCUUGACUUUGGGAUAACUUCAGGAAACUGGGGCUAAUACCGGAUAGGAGCUCCUGCUGCAUGGUGGGGGUUGGAAAGUUUCGGCGGUUGGGGAUGGACUCGCGGCUUAUCAGCUUGUUGGUGGGGUAGUGGCUUACCAAGGCUUUGACGGGUAGCCGGCCUGAGAGGGUGACCGGCCACAUUGGGACUGAGAUACGGCCCGGACUCCUACGGGAGGCAGCAGUGGGGAAUAUUGCACAAUGGGCGGAAGCCUAAUGCAGCAACGCCGCGUGCGGGAUAACGGCCUUCGGGUUGUAGACCGCUUUCGCCUGUGACGAAGCGUGAGUGACGGUAAUGGGUAAAGAAGCACCGGCUAACUACGUG
rnacentral:rRNA from 1 species